rnacentral:lncRNA from 1 species
CCUGUAAUUCUCGUUCCUGUGCAAACCCUUCACCGUGCAGGCGCUCUGGGUUCCUUGCACUCUCUCCUCCUGGGGUGUUUUUGGAGACUCAACAUCCUCUAUUGGUCUUAAACAUAUGUGGUCAUAGCCGCAGCUCCAAAUGGAAAACACAGAAAGACAGACACACGCACACCGUUCAGAGAAGGCUGACAUCACAGCGGAAUUCCAGAGCCUUGCAAACAGUGAGAGGAAGCUGCGGUUUUGUUUAUUCCCAUCGCAGCUGUUAUUUCUUCUCUCAGAAAAAGCCUGUUUUGGUUUUGAGCAUUAACUGUCUUUGGUUCAGCUUUAGAGGGAGCCCCUUUCCACUCCUCCUUCAAGAGCUGACUCAGAGGUCCUGGCUCCCUGGAAGCUAGCAUUUGCUCCUGCGUGUGGCAUCUACUGGACUAUACUACCUCCUGCAUGUCCCCUUCCCACGGAGCAGCCUCUUCUGCUCUCCCCUCACUGAGAAGACCACGACUCACUUGCCCAGAGACCCCCAGGUAAUCCCCGACCAAGCCGGGAUGGGAUGCUGCACGUGUCUGCACGGCGCAGGUCUCAGCCGAGCUCAGGGACCUGGGAGCAGCCCUUUCUCCCUUGCUUUAAGAUGCAUAGAGCCCAAGACUCCAGGCUGGUAACCUGUUCCCCAAGGCUGCUGCUGCUGGUGCUGCUCAUGCUUCGGAUUCGUGUCGAGGAGCAGAGCUCUAAAUUCCUGAGGUCACAAUUAACGAAUUGUUGGAGGCUUCACACUGACAAUUGAAUAAUCUGUCAGCUAUAAUUUUAAUUAACUGAUUCCCCCAACUGUUACAAAAAAUAAUACCAGAGAUGAAAUAUGAAAUAUUACAUCUCCCAACCUGUUAGCUGUAUGAUACACUGAGCUCUUGUUGUUCUCUAGAAAUCGAUGAGUUCUAGGAACAACAGGGGUUAAGAGUAGAAGGUAUUUAUGGAUAGGAGAGCUCCCGAGGGGCAGGCUACCCCCAAGUGGGUAGCCCGGGACCCUGCUUUACAGAGGAGUUUUAUAGGGUGAAACCCACGUACGUACAACGUGGGACACAUCCAUGAACAUCCAAUCAGGUUACAAGUGUAGGCACUUAGGUAAUGGUGGUUCAAUUGGGAAACAAGCCACCUAAGAAGCGUAGAUGGAAAGAACAAAGAUUCUCCUAGGAAGUGGGGGGUUCACAGAUCUCUGGUCACCCACCAGGGUGGCUGAUGUCUAUCUAGACUUCAUUAGGCCCAGUGUUUGUUCUUUGAGGAAGUAUGUAGGUCUGGUCCUCUUGUCUUUAUCUUGAGGCCUGGUUUUUAGUCGAUGGGUCUCUGGUCACCGCUGUGGUGUGUUUCACCUUUGUGCUGACCCUCUCGAGGACCUGAGUCCUUCACUGGAGCUCACCCGACAGAAGGCUUGUGUCUCUCCCGGUGCUGGGGGCACUUGCACAUAGCAGGUGCCCUAUCAGUGUUCAGGGAGUAUACAGAGUGCCUCUUCACCCCUCUUCCCUGCCUCCUUUAUGGCAGAAGUCACACACUUUACCGCCUAAGGCAGAAGCCAGGUCACCAGCGAAGAGAUGCAGGGCCCACAGUAGAAAGCCCAAGGAACAUUUACCUUCCUCCCAACCCCACGUGAGCACAGACUUGAUGACAAGUGGCAAGGGACACUGGAUUCAAGGGGCAUCCUCUCCUGGAUUCACGAGGAGUGGGCACCACAGUGAACAGACCUCAUUCCCACGGGGAGGCGGUCCAGGAAUUUGAUUCCAAAGCUACCAGAGAGUUCUGAGUUUCUGGAGAGGCUGGCAACCUGGGCGUGCAUGUGACAACACAGCUACCAGUCCACUUCUGCAAACCCAGGGUGCCCCUGGCCUUUCAAAGGGUGCUAUGGGGUUUGAAGAAGGCACGGCCCUUAUGCAGCCAAAGGACCUGGUCAAGCAACUCCCUGCAAGCCCCUCAAGGGCUGCAAAGUGAGUAGCUGAAAACUGCCCAUGGGCUGGUGACAGAUCUGAUAAACUCCUCUCCCUGCAGAAACAUCAAAAACCAGAAAUCUUUUUUUAAGAGCAGGAAUGUUCAUUGCUCUAGCUUAUCAGCGUCUCCUUCCUCCCAGUGACAUUUGAACCUCUUCUGUUUGGGGACUCCCCAUCUUUAAAGCAAUGUCUACCUGCUCCCUUGAAGGACAGCCAGAGAGAAAGAGAGAGAGAGAGAGAGAGAGAGAGCUAGAUAUAUAGAGAAGCAAGCAAAAAGGCAGCAGACGGACAGCACCAUGAGCCGCUGGAGCCUGCUGAACCUGAAGCCAGUCCCACCCAGGACUUGGCUGUUCAAGCCAAUGUGUGCUGAGCUUUCCGUCAGUUACAAUAAAAUUCUGUAGAUCUAUGGUUCAGUGCCUUCAUCUUGAAGAUAGAGAAAUUGAGACCCAGAGAGAAACCAUCAGCCCCGAGUCCCACAGUGAGUCAGUGCAGGCAGGGAGUCCUCUGGGCUUUCAACUCCCGGGUCACCACUCCGCAGUUCUGCUCGCUGUCUCUGUUCUCUUCCCUCACUGCCCUUGCUGUGUUUCUGCUCAUUUUUAAAAAAAUCGUCCUUUUGCGCCAGGGAUUUAGCUCAGUGGUUUCGCCGCCUGCUGUGCAAGUGCAAGGACCCGAGUUCAAUCGCUGGUACAAAAAAAAAAAAUUGCUGUUUCUUUUACUUCAAGUUUUAUCUUUAUUGCCUCCCUCUUGGUGAAAUGUCUUUUUAAGCAAGACUCAUGUGAAAAGAUAGUUUCAGAAGAUCAGCAGAUGCGAGCACAUCUCGUACACAAUACACAAUACGAAGCUUGAUAGGAGUUAGUGUCAAUGACAAGGCGACAGGGCAGAAAGGUUUGCGGUUUCACUCCAGUUUUGUUAUUGUUGUUGUUGUUGUUGUUUUAGGGUUUCUGGCAGUAUUGGGGGUUGGGCCCGCUGAGCUAUGUCCUCAGAACUUUUUAUUUUUCAUUUGGAGACCAGGCCUCUCCAUGAUGCCCAGGCUGAACUCAAACUUGUGACCUUGUCUCAGCCUCCCAAGGAGCUGGGAUUAAAGAGCGUGCUGCCUGAAGCUCAUCUCUGAUCUUCCUACUGCCCGGAAUCAGAUACUGCGUCUCCCACCUCCAGCUGAGUUAGGAAGGCUCAUAAGGCGGAGGGCUCAGCCAAGGCCCACGGUCCCAAACAGCAAGACCAGCAUCCACUGCCAGGCCCCCCUGUGCUGACUCCCUGUGUCUUCCAGCCAGGGCCCCUUGUAGAAGCACCAAGAUCUUUAUUUCUGUGCCUUACACGAUGACUGACCACUGAAGAGAUUCACCAGAUAUAGCAAAUAAAAAUAUAACACAGUUAAAUUUUAAUUUCAAUUAAACAAUGAAUAAAUUUUUUUAGUAUAAAUAUGUCCCAAAUUGUAUGGGACAUCCUUAUAUUAGAAUUGGCCAUUGUUUAACUGUGAUUCCAGCAUAACCAGGCAUCCUAUACUCCAUCUGGAAUGCUACACUAAGAAACAUCAGCUGUGUCCUCAAUUCUGUCUUAUAGCAUAAUGCCCACACCAGGGCCUUUGCACUUGCUGAUCCAUCUGCUUAGGAAGCUUGUCUCCCAAUAUCUAUGUCCCCUUUCACCUCCUCUGGGGCUCUGCUCAAAUAUAAUUUCAUGAUUGAUACCUUCCCUUCACCCUGUCAGGAACAAUCCCCAUUUUCUGUGUUUACCACCACUCAUAAUGUGUACUUACAUGUUUAAUUUUUUAUUGUCUCUCUUCCUCCACUAAGAUGUGGGUACAGAUUUUGUUCUGAUUUGUUCCUUGCUGUGAAAAGAUUCCAAAACAGUGCCGUGUAUGUUGUGAACGCAUGAAUGAACUCUCCAAGAGCAAGUAGGGUUCGUCUGGAGCAACGCCUGACUCGAAAUCAGGGGUGGGAUCGUCCCCCGAACUCUGCUACCACUGUGUGAUGGCAGCUGUCCCCCCACCCCGAGUCCCCACUCUGAGGGUGGGGCUCAUCUUAGAACCCCAUGGCUCAGGGUGAUCAGGUGGCCACAGGGCUUUGGCAGUUGGCUGCAGACUUACAAGAACACUUGCUUGGAACACAGGCGUGGCUGCUUUCUUUCCUCCCUCUCUGCUCACACAUGAUAGCUGAGCCCCAGGGACACAAACUAGGGGUGCACAGCAUGCGCCCACACCCCAGCUCUCUGCACACCAGGCACCAGCACUUCUGGGCCAGAGAAGAGGAGCAUGUGCUCACAGACGUUGCACCGACAGCCGACAGCCGUUGCUACCUGUAUCGCCUCACUUGAUCCACACGCCUCUUUCAAAAGAGGGAUUAUUGUUAUGUGCAUUUUACAGAUGAGGAAACUGAGGCUCGGCGAGAUUACGCAGUCUGCCUAGGGUUACACGAGCAGAGAGCGAGAAGUCACAUUUGAACUCAGUCACCCUGACAACUUCAGACAGUUCACCUGUGAAGUGGGUAUAAUCGGUGCCACCUUCUUGGGGAGGUGUGGGAGUGAAAUGAGAGCAUUUCUCAGGGUCUGCAGGGGCCCAGGAAGGAAGUAGGUGGGCAGCCACCACAGGCAACCUUGCCGUCCCUCCCCAGCCAGAAACAGGCAGGUGAAAGGCGGUCACAUGGCUGCCACCAUUGCAAGCUGACCAGAGCCCCCGUGACCCAGCCUAAAGCAGACAGCCAGAUGGACUGGACUCACUCUUGGGCAUCAGAAGUGGAAAACUCAGUGCAAAUGGAGGGGGGCGGGGGGGGGGGGACAAGUCUGGAAGUAGAAAGCAGAGCCAGCACAGCCGUGCAGGGGGCAAGCAUGGUGGGGUUACAGAGGAGCCCAGGACUGCUGUGUGCAGUGGGGCCAUACACGGUGGCCUGCUCUUGGAGCACCGUCCUUCAGAAUGGUGACCUCCAGAGUUGUGCAGUCCACACCCCGACGGACGGUACUCAGCAGCCCCAGGUUGUUGUCCGCUCAUUGAUGAUUCACGCAUCUAUUUAUUUCCUUUGCGUGAUAGUUUCUUUUCAGGCCCUGGGGCGGUGGCAGUGAAACGACAUUCAAGAUCCCUUGUAUAUUAGUUGGAAGAAACAGAUAAGAAACAGAAAUAAGUGACAGGAGCAACAGGAAAAAAAGAAGCAAGAGGCUGAGAGGCCAGCGAGGUUUUGCAUCCAUGUGCUAAGCAGGGAAGAGUUUUGCCCGGCAGAGGCAAUGGCAGAUGCAAAGGCCCUGAGCUGAACCCCAAGAGCAAUGGGCUCCUUGGUCCAGAAUUACCAUCUAACCAUGGGCUUUCCUGGACUCUGUGGGCUCCCUAGCCAGGCCCCCAAUGCAGAUGUCCAUGUGACACCCCCAUGGUCCUCGGGGUGGCUAGAGUCCUUACACCCCAAAAUCCCAGCCUGAGCCCUCCCCGUGGGACAAAGUCCGGACUGGGCAAUGCUGGGCCUCCCUCUGCUUCUCCUCCUCAUCUGCCCAACCUGUGCCCACCCGCCCCCACUGGGCUCCCCAGAGCUACCUGUAGCCACACAGUGAGCAGCAAAGGGCUUUUCGGACACCGAGUCUGGGCUUUUCCUUCAGGGCUCCCAGGAAGUGCAAAAGCCACCAACUUCUGAAGCCACCACUACCUGCAGUGCCGGCCGUGGUCUGUGGGUCUCCAUCUCUCUCUGUG